rnacentral:lncRNA from 1 species
AUUUACAAUAUAUAAAUCAACCAAACCAAAGCCUUGAAACCCACACAUCUCAAACACUUACAACUAUCGGUACUGCAAAGUUCUAAAGAGAGAUAUCUAUAUAGAGAGAUGGACAAGGCAUCUAUGAAGCUGGUUUUUAUGGUUGUGCUCUUGAUUUUCGUUGCAGGUACAUAGUUUUUUCUUUGGAUAUUAUUGUUCAGAAAAUUGUACUAAAUAUGAUUAAUAAUAUGAUCGGACAAUACGAUUGUAGGUGAGACUUCAAACAUUGGAGCAGAAGGGCAAUUCCUGCCAUGCGCCUGCGUGUCUCCGUGCAUUUGCAGUGGUAUCGGAAGUUGCAUUUGCCCCGCGGAUUUGUCAUUGACUUCCCAAGCACACGACGGUCCCAAGGUGUCGUCAGAGGAUCCACCAUUGCCUUCCCCAUAGAAUUGAAAAAAUUGAACUAUUACCAUUAAUAAUAAUGUAGCCGUAGUUGGGAGAAGAACCUGUAAUUUAUUUGGUUGAGUUAUCAAUCAUGCAAUCAAAGUAAGUUUAUUUUCAGAGAGUCUAGCUAAUUAAUUUCGAUUGUGUUCAAGGACGUCG